rnacentral:rRNA from 1 species
UACAGAGGGGGCAAGCGUUGUUCGGAAUUACUGGGCGUAAAGGGCGCGUAGGCGGCCUUCUAAGUCGAACGUGAAAUCCCCGGGCUCAACCCGGGAACUGCGUCCGAUACUGGAAGGCUUGAAUCCGGGAGAGGGAUGUGGAAUUCCAGGUGUAGCGGUGAAAUGCGUAGAUAUCUGGAGGAACACCGGUGGCGAAGGCGGCAUCCUGGGACCGGCAUUGACGCUGAGGCGCGAAAGCCAGGGGAGCAAACGGG